rnacentral:rRNA from 1 species
GUGCCAGCCGCCGCGGUAAUACGUAGGGUGCGAGCGUUAAUCGGAAUUACUGGGCGUAAAGCGUGCGCAGGCGGUUUGGUAAGACAGGCGUGAAAUCCCCGAGCUUAACUUGGGAAUGGCGCUUGUGACUGUCAGGCUAGAGUAUGUCAGAGGGGGGUAGAAUUCCACGUGUAGCAGUGAAAUGCGUAGAGAUGUGGAGGAAUACCGAUGGCGAAGGCAGCCCCCUGGGACGUUACUGACGCUCAUGCACGAAAGCGUGGGGAGCAAACAGGAUUAGAUACCCCGGUAGUC